rnacentral:rRNA from 1 species
AGAGAGAUAUAGAGUUUGAUCCUGGCUCAGGAUGAACGCUAGCGGCAGGCUUAACACAUGCAAGUCGAGGGGCAGCAGGGAUGUAGCAAUACAUUUGCUGGCGACCGGCGCACGGGUGCGUAACGCGUAUGCAACCUACCUUAUACAGGGAGAUAACCUUUCGAAAGAGAGACUAAAAUCCCAUAGCAUUAAUUAGAGGCAUCUUUAGUUAAUUAAAUCUUCGGAGGUAUAAGAUGGGCAUGCGUAGCAUUAGUUAGAUGGAGAGGUAACGGCUCACCAUGACUACGAUGCUUAUGUGCCCUGAGAGGGAAGUCCCCCACACUGGACUGAACA